UACGUAGGGUGCGAGCGUUGUCCGGAAUUAUUGGGCGUAAAGGGCUCGUAGGCGGUUUGUCGCGUCGGGAGUGAAAACCCAGGGCUUAACCCUGGGCUGGCUUUCGAUACGGGCAGACUAGAGGUAUGCAGGGGAGAACGGAAUUCCUGGUGUAGCGGUGAAAUGCGUAGAUAUCUGGAGGAAUACCGGUGGCGAAGGCGGCAUCCUGGACCGAGAUUGACACUGAUGAGCGAAAGCCAGGGGAGCAAACGGG
rnacentral:rRNA from 1 species